CAAAAACAUUUCUGGAAGAGAAAUAUUUUUGGUCUAACCUGCUCCAUGCUUAAGUUAAUAGCUGCAGUAUAAUGACUGUACAAAGGUAGCAUAAUCAUUAGUCUUUUAAUUGAGGGCUUGUAUGAAUGGUUGAACAGAAUGUAGGCUUUCUUAGUUAUAUGUUUUUUGAAUUUUGUGAUUGUGUAAAAAUACAUAAAUAAUUAAAAGGGACGAUAAGACCCUAUAGAAUUUGAAAUUUAAAAAUGAAAGAUGAAUUUUUGGUUGGGGUGACAAAGAAUUAAACUUUUUUAAAAAAAUUUUACUUUCCAGUAAAUUUAUGAUCCUGAAUUUAAGAUAAAUGGAUAAAAUUACCUUAGGGAUAACAGCGUAAUUUUUUUUUUAAGAUCAUAUUUGUAAAAAAGAUUACGACCUCGAUGUUGAAUUAAAUUGAAAUUUUGGUGUAGAAACUAAAAUUUAUGAGUCUGUUCGACUUCCGAUAUUUACAUGAUCUGAUUUCAGACCGGA
rnacentral:rRNA from 1 species